rnacentral:lncRNA from 1 species
AGACUACGACGUCUCUUAGUGCAAGUUUGUUUGAAUGGAAUUAGCGGGGUGGAACUGGAGAGGAGGAAAGUUGUUUUUGCCAUAAACGAUCACUUUCAUUAUUUGGUUCGUCGUAAAAAAGUUACGGUCGAAACCCAAGUUAAUCUGAAACGGCGUAAUUGUGGGCUGAAGCCAAUUACGGUGAAGAGAAGUGAAAAAAAUAAUAAAAUAAUAUAUUAGAUAAAAAUAAUUAUAUUUAAAUAUAUUUAAUUAUGGUACUAAUUACUCUUUUAUUCAAUUGGCAUAUUUAAAAUAUGAUAAAUAUUGAUUAGUUAAGUUUUAAUAUUUUCUUUAUUUAGUUUGUACAAUUAAAAUAUGAUAAAAAUUGAUUAAUUAAGUAUUAAUAUUUCUUUUUACUUUAUAAUUUUAUUGUUGUGUUACUAUAAUUUAUGUAUAAAAAAUAAUAUAGUUGUUUAAAAUAAAAUUUUUAUUAUAUUAUUUUUAUUUAUUAAAUUAUUUAUUAUUUAUAUAUAAAUUAUAAUUUUACAUCAUAUACAACUAAUUAAAUUUCACUUCCAUAAUUACAAAACAAACAGCUUACAAAACAAACAACGGAGAAGAAGUACUUUUCACCAAACUUCACUUCAACCCAAAGUCUAGUUUUAAUGAAACAAACGUACCCAGCGGUUUCAAAAAAAUUAAAAUAUGCACAAGACAUGACCAGCAGUAAAAUAUUAUUUUUUCAAUACAAUAUUCUUUGAAUAUUAUAUA